UCCGUAGGCGGGCAAUUAAGUCAGAGGUGAAAUCCCACAGCUCAACUGUGGAACUGCCUUAGAUACUGGUUAUCUUGAGUUUUAGUGAAGUAGAUAGAAUGUGUAGUGUAGCGGUGAAAUGCAUAGAUAUUACACAGAAUACCGAUUGCGAAGGCAGUCUACUAACUAACAACUGACGCUAAUGGACGAAAGCGUGGGGAGCGAACAGGAUUAGAUACCCUGGUAGUCC
rnacentral:rRNA from 1 species